UGGGGAAUAUUGGACAAUGGGGGCAACCCUGAUCCAGCAAUGCCGCGUGUGUGAAGAAGGUCUUCGGAUUGUAAAGCACUUUCGACGGGGACGAUGAUGACGGUACCCGUAGAAGAAGCCCCGGCUAACUUCGUGCCAGCAGCCGCGGUAAUACGAAGGGGGCUAGCGUUGCUCGGAAUGACUGGGCGUAAAGGGCGUGCAGGCGGUUUACACAGUCAGAUGUGAAAUCCCCGGGCUUAACCUGGGAGCUGCAUUUGAUACGUGUAGACUAGAGUGUGAGAGAGGGUUGUGGAAUUCCCAGUGUAGAGGUGAAAUUCGUAGAUAUUGGGAAGAACACCGGUGGCGAAGGCGGCAACCUGGCUCAUGACUGACGCUGAGGCGCGAAAGCGUGGGGAGCAAACAGGAUUAGAUACC
rnacentral:rRNA from 1 species